GGUUCAGUAGCUCAGUGGUAGAGCACUUGACUGAAGCUCAAGGUGUCGGCAGUUCAAUUCUGUCCUGAACCA